rnacentral:rRNA from 1 species
UACGGAGGGUGCAAGCGUUAUCCGGAUUCACUGGGUUUAAAGGGUGCGUAGGUGGGUAGGAAAGUCAGUGGUGAAAUCUUCGGGCUUAACCCGGAAACUGCCAUUGAUACUAUUUAUCUUGAAUACUUUGGAGGUAAGCGGAAUAUGUCAUGUAGCGGUGAAAUGCUUAGAUAUGACAUAGAACACCAAUUGCGAAGGCGGCUUACUACACAGUUAUUGACACUGAGGCACGAAAGCGUGGGGAUCAAACAGG